rnacentral:rRNA from 1 species
CAAGUCGAACGCGAAAGUUCCUUCGGGGAGCGAGUAGAGUGGCGCACGGGUGAGUAACACGUAGGUAAUCUACCCUUUGGAUUGGGAAUAACAACCGGAAACGGUUGCUAAUACCGAAUAAUGCAGCGGCACCUAAUGGUGACAGUUGUUAAAGCGGGGGAUCGCAAGACCUCGCGUCUAAAGAGGAGCCUGCGGCGGAUUAGCUAGUUGGUAAGGUAAUGGCUUACCAAGGCGAUGAUCCGUAGCCGGCCUGAGAGGGCGGUCGGCCACACUGACACUGACAUACGGGUCAGACUCCUACGGGAGGCAGCAGUCGGGAAUUUUGGGCAAUGGGCGAAAGCCUGACCCAGCAACGCCGCGUGAAGGAUGAAAUCCUUCGGGAUGUAAACUUCGCAAGAACGGGAAGAAUAAGUAAGAGCUAACAUCUCUUAUGAUGACGGUACUGUUUGUAAGCUCCGGCUAACUCCGUGCCAGCAGCCGCGGUAAUACGGGGGGAGCAAGCGUUGUUCGGAUUUACUGGGCGUAAAGGGCGCGUAGGCGGCCACUGCAAGUCAGUUGUGAAAUCUCCGGGCUUAACCCGGAAAGGUCAACUGAUACUGCAGGGCUAGAGUGCAGAAGGGGCAACUGGAAUUCUCGGUGUAGCGGUGAAAUGCGUAGAUAUCGAGAGGAACACCUGGCGGCGAAGGCGGGGUUGCUGGGCUGACACUGACGCUGAUGUGCGAAAGCUAGGGGAGCGAACGGGAUUAGAUACCCCGGUAGUCCUAGCCUUAAACGAUGAAUGCUUGGUGUCUGGGGUUUUAUAGUCCCCGGGUGCCGUCGCUAACGCUUUAAGCAUUCCGCCUGGGGAGUACGGUCGCAAGACUGAAACUCAAGGGAAUUGACGGGGACCCGCACAAGCGGUGGAGCAUGUGGUUUAAUUC